GCUGCUUGUGUCUUCAUACCCACAUCCUGGGACUCCUCUCCCCCUCUCCUGCAUUGCACCUUGCUACACAAACACACGUUCGACAUUCCAUAUUAGGUGAGCAUAGGAACAACAACAAGGAUCUGGGUAAACCCAAAGCAUCAUGGAUCUUGUAGUACACAGCACUUCCUCUGACAGUCUCUUCCUGAAACACUGUGACUGACUAGCUAAAGAUCACCAUUUCCUUCCGAGGUAUAUUUAUUCAGAUUUAAAUUACAAUCCAAGCGUUAAAGUAUGAUCUGCUAGUUAAUUCCUGCAUGUGAACGUUAGAUCAGCUCAGCUGUAUUAAUACAGGAUUUGUUAGGAGUCACAUGGUCAGACAUGUGUCACAUUGUAUUUCAUUUCCUGGUAGGAGCUGUGUAAAUGUGUCUCUUUAUAUGAGCAGUUUAUGCCUGUGUAUGCUUCAAGUUACCUCAUUUGAUUUAUUUCACUGACAGCUGCCUGUGUAAAUACAUUGUAUCAAAGCUGAUACCACCAAAUAUUCUCUGAGCAGAAGCCUCCAUUAACCAAAUGGAAUCAUAACCUUAUGCCAUAGAACUCUGCAGUGAACAAGGUAAGUGAUCUUAGUUUAAAUGUGAAAAAUGUAGAAAUACUCUAAUGGUCUAUAAAUAUUAGCAAUGAAGUUUAAACAAUGAAAGUAAACUCCACUCUGAUUAUACACCUUGCUGACUUGUUCUGUUUUGCUAUCAAUUUCUGCUGUUUUAGGACUACAAAUCUAAUGAUGCUUUGCCAGUCUUUCUGCUGACAGAGCAUCAUGGGGGAUGUAGUUCUACCACCCUACAUUAAUUUGCAUUGCAUCUACAGAAAAGGCUGUUUUGGUGCCAGUGUUUGUGCUUACACUUUGGGAUGUGAAUAGUGAUGAUAUUUUGACAACUAGAAUUUGAAUAUAAUUGCAGAGUCUGGGAAAUAGGUGAUUAAGGAAAUAUAUGAAACCAGACAUUUUUGAGUGUUUUAACGUCUUUGCAAAUUAUCUCGGUUUACCACUAUUAACUGUUCAGAAAGCAUACAUGUGUUGUUUUCUUUUUGUGAAACAAACCUAACCAGGUACAUCUAUUUCACUUUUAAAAAAAAAAUUAUACAUUUCCACAAGUUUAAUCACAAGGAGAAAAUAAAACCAAGAUACCAGUUCUACUGUAAGGCUGUAGCCAUUAGAGGGCACUUCCUGGAUCAUAGCACAGGAAACCUGUGCUAGAGUGUCGCUGGACGUCCUCACGCUGUGUGAGGACCUCCAGCGUCGCUCAAUUCCCCAUAGGAAAGCACUGAAAAGCAUCAGUCUCACCCACCGGAUGACGUAAUCACUGGGAGGAGCGGCGGCGACCCGAAACCACCGCCGAGGGACAUCGGCGGGGUCUCAGGUAAGUGACAUAAGGAGUUUUCACCCCCUCAGCUACCGGGGGAUGGGUGGUGGGAGGGAGAGGGGACCUCUGUUUUCCUGGCACUGGAGAGUCCCUUUAAGUAUAUCUAAACUGUUGUCUUUUAAACACCAACUAGUUUGAGUAUUUUUUAUUUAUUUUUUAAUUUAAACUUGGUUUCCUUGUGUUAAAGUACAGUUUUUGUACUGUUUAACGCUUUAAUGAGGGUCCUAAAGGUUCUGGCAACCUGGUCUCUACUGGAGGUCUUAGCCACACUAACACAUACCAGCAGUCGGUGACUGUGAUUGGCUGCUUGGAAAUUUCAGAUGGCCCGUGACCACCAUUACAAAACAAUUAGAUGGUGAACUGUAAGACAAUAAUGGAGAACGUCAGUCAGCCUCAAAGCUGAGCAAUAUGAGAAUUUAUCCAACUCUGUGAAUUUUUUUAUUUUAUUUUUAUAAAAAUAUAUAUUUUAUUUCAUUACAUUUCACUGUUUAUCGAAUAAACCUCUCUAUACAAACUCCAGAACUAGGCUUUUAAAUUUAAUGAUUGUGACUUGGAUCACACACACACACACUUCCAUAUUUACUCUAAUUCUUUUGUGACAAAUGACCGUUCUAUUGCCAGUGAUUAGCUGUGAAAGGGUUAAACAAGAAAUGUCACAAUUUGUCUGGUGGCUGUCCUCUUAUCUUACUUCCUUAAACUCUGUUAAAGUAUUCAGGGGCCUGAUAUACACAGUGGAAGUAAAGUAUAAAUGUUCCCCUGCACUACCAUAUUUUAUAAUGACUUGGCCAUAUUGGUCCCAUGAUGCAAUGAGCUUGCUAGAAUUAUGGGCCUUUACCUUGUUCGAGCCAGAGCAGCCUGGAUUUCUUUUUUUUAUAAAGUGUUUCAUAGCCAACUGAAAUGUUUAACUCCUGUGUGACCGACUUGGUUACAUCGUUCGAAUGUAUCUACUUCCUGGUAACGAAGCAUCUAAUCCUUUAACAUAGAGGGUGUCAUACCAAAUGUGUUCCGUGCUGUUAUCAAAGCUUGUAGUAAUGUAUUGGUAAAGGGAUUUGUUUGUCUAUGUUUUAAGAACAAGAAUUGUAUGUUUUAUGAAAACAGUGUCUUUGUUUAGGAAACACAUGUCACUAAUUUAUGUAAGAGUUGACUGAGCAAAAAAAAAAAGAAUCCUUAUAUUUUGUUUAAAAGGACACUAAACCUUUUUUUGGUUUUUUUUCAUUGUUUUUGGUUUUAUAAGCACUCAAUGCACUAUAACUGUAUUUUUGUCCAACUGUUUGAUGAACAGAACAGGUUUUACCUGGCAAACAAAGAUCCUCCCUUCCUUGCACAUAAUAAAACUAAAUUUAUACUUCUGGAUGAUUUUAUAACAGCUCUGUCGAACAUGGCAGAUAAUGGUAGGUUGAGAGUGCUGGGAACUAAUCCACCUAGAAAGAUUAAGGUAAACAAUAUACAGAAUGAAAGGAACACUCAAAGCACCAUAACCACUACACUGUAGUGGUAACGGUGCCAGAAGUGUCCUUUUAUUAACAGUUUGACCUCUUACCUGGGAUCUGCCAGAGAGCCAGCAUUAGUCACUAAGCAGGAACUUCCAUCAGCUAUCCUGAGUUAAGCGUUUAAAGGGACUCUAUAUGCAGUUUUUCCCCACCAUAACCUAUUUGGAUUUUGCUUCCCAAGCACUACCAAGCCUCAAUAAGCAAAUCAGUAACCAACCUCAUGCUUAUGAGUUGCAUUAACAACGAAACAGCUGUCCAUGAGUGGUUUUAUGGCUUGGCUGGUGUGCAGAUUUUUGUUUAACAUUGUACUAACUAUCCACAGACUUCAGGUGGAAGGGGUUUUCAAUCACAAUUUUUCCCCACCAUAACCUAUUUGGGUUUUGAUAUAUAUACAGGGAGUGCAGAAUUAUUAGGCAAAUGAGUAUUUUGACCACAUCAUCCUCUUUAUGCAUGUUGUCUUACUCCAAGCUGUAUAGGCUCGAAAGCCUACUACCAAUUAAGCAUAUUAGGUGAUGUGCAUCUCUGUAAUGAGAAGGGGUGUGGUCUAAUGACAUCAACACCCUAUAUCAGGUGUGCAUAAUUAUUAGGCAACUUCCUUUCCUUUGGCAAAAUGGGUCAAAAGAAGGACUUGACAGGCUCAGAAAAGUCAAAAAUAGUGAGAUAUCUUGCAGAGGGAUGCAGCACUCUUAAAAUUGCAAAGCUUCUGAAGCGUGAUCAUCGAACAAUCAAGCGUUUCAUUCAAAAUAGUCAACAGGGUCGCAAGAAGCGUGUGGAAAAACCAAGGCGCAAAAUAACUGCCCAUGAACUGAGAAAAGUCAAGCGUGCAGCUGCCACGAUGCCACUUGCCACCAGUUUGGCCAUAUUUCAGAGCUGCAACAUCACUGGAGUGCCCAAAAGCACAAGGUGUGCAAUACUCAGAGACAUGGCCAAGGUAAGAAAGGCUGAAAGACGACCACCACUGAACAAGACACACAAGCUGAAACGUCAAGACUGGGCCAAGAAAUAUCUCAAGACUGAUUUUUCUAAGGUUUUAUGGACUGAUGACAUGAGAGUGAGUCUUGAUGGGCCAGAUGGAUGGGCCCGUGGCUGGAUUGGUAAAGGGCAGAGAGCUCCAGUCCGACUCAGACGCCAGCAAGGUGGAGGUGGAGUACUGGUUUGGGCUGGUAUCAUCAAAGAUGAGCUUGUGGGGCCUUUUCGGGUUGAGGAUGGAGUCAAGCUCAACUCCCAGUCCUACUGCCAGUUCCUGGAAGACACCUUCUUCAAGCAGUGGUACAGGAAGAAGUCUGCAUCCUUCAAGAAAAACAUGAUUUUCAUGCAGGACAAUGCUCCAUCACACGCGUCCAAGUACUCCACAGCGUGGCUGGCAAGAAAGGGUAUAAAAGAAGAAAAUCUAAUGACAUGGCCUCCUUGUUCACCUGAUCUGAACCCCAUUGAGAACCUGUGGUCCAUCAUCAAAUGUGAGAUUUACAAGGAGGGAAAACAGUACACCUCUCUGAACAGUGUCUGGGAGGCUGUGGUUGCUGCUGCACGCAAUGUUGAUGGUGAACAGAUCAAAACACUGACAGAAUCCAUGGAUGGCAGGCUUUUGAGUGUCCUUGCAAAGAAAGGUGGCUAUAUUGGUCACUGAUUUGUUUUUGUUUUGUUUUUGAAUGUCAGAAAUGUAUAUUUGUGAAUGUUGAGAUGUUAUAUUGGUUUCACUGGUAAUAAUAAAUAAUUGAAAUGGGUAUAUAUUUGUUUUUUGUUAAGUUGCCUAAUAAUUAUGCACAGUAAUAGUCACCUGCACACACAUAUAUCCCCCUAACAUAGCUAAAACUAAAAACAAACUAAAAACUACUUCCAAAAAAAUUCAGCUUUGAUAUUAAUGAGUUUUUUGGGUUCAUUGAGAACAUGGUUGUUGUUCAAUAAUAAAAUUAAUCCUCAAAAAUACAACUUGCCUAAUAAUUCUGCACUCCCUGUAUAUAUAUAUAUAACGAGUGCACUCUGGGGUCUGUAGAAAAUAUAGAUGCUUUUAUUCAGCACAAAUCAUACAUUGUCAUUUCAGUCCAACCGGACUUUUCUUAAGACCAUGGACUGAAAUGACGAUGUAUGAUUUGUGCUGAAUAAAAGCAUCUAUACUUUCUACAGACCCCAGAGUGCACUUGUCUUCAUUCCUGUAUUAUGGUUGGAGUUGGCACCCGGGGCAUUCUAAAGACCAGGGAACUUGAGUGCUGGGAUUGUGAGUGUGUGUGUGUGUAUGUGUGUGCAUAUAUGUGUGUGCAUAUAAGAAAACCAAGAUGCUUGCACUCCUGGAUUAGAGAGUAAUUGCCCGGUGCUGGUCAGGCACAAGAUACAAAAAAAUGAUUGGAAAUGACCGCACUCCAAGGAGUAUCAUAUAAAAAUAUCAACUUUUCAGCCCCAAUACAUGGGCUUUCAUCAGGAUGGCAAUACCAUAUUUUAUUUUAACUAUCAACAAGUCCUUGGAGUGCGGUCAUUUUCAAUCAUAUUUUUUUAUAUAUAUAUAUUUGUGUUCGGGGUAUUCUCAUAUGAUAUAGAAUAAGAUGGGUUGUAGAGAUGUAGCUUUAGGAAUAAUCGGUUGAGGUGUGCCGAAACCGACGUAUGCUGUAGGACGGUAAAAAGUGGGCUUACAUAGAGGAAAUAUCAACAAUGGGAGUGGAGGGUGGGGCUAUUCGUCUGACCCACAAAGGUAAGUAGGGAAAGGGGGGAGUCCCUUUUAUAGGUCUAUAGCCCCUCCCACAACUUCAGGCCAUGCCUUCUAAUUUGUGUUCGGGGCAUUCUCAUAUGAUAUAGAAUAAGAUGGGUUGUAGAGAUGUAGCUUUAGGAAUAAUUGGUUGAGGUGUGCCGAAACCGACGUAUGCUGUAGGCCGGUAAAAAGUGGUCAAAAAGAGACAUAUUAUUGCAAAAAAUUAUACAGGAUCGUAGUGCAUUUGUUAACCAUCAGGUAGACAUUUUAAUGAAAGCUUCCUAAUUCCUGAAUCGGCUGUGGUAUGUAAGUCGCAUAAGCCUAUGAUUCCCAGCGGCCCCGUGUCUUAACGUGUGCUGGGAUGUCUUGGCUAUAGGCCGUGGAGGCUGCUCCUAUACUAAAGGAGUGCCCUGAGUAGUCGCUAGGUUUUAGUUCGAGCCCGGUGAAUGAGUAGGUGGACAUAGUGCAUGAACUUACCUGUGGUAAGGACAGUAUCGUACAGCGAUACUUUGGUGCGUAUGGUGGCGUGCCCAAGAAUGUAACCAGUACCUUAACCGGGCACCCAGCAUUGCUUGUAAGGUAGUAGGUUAUAUGCACUGGUUUGCCCAUCUGACUCGUCUUAGUUUUAGGAAGGGACCGGACAUAGUGGUCUGUGUGUUUUAGAAGAUAAGAGGUCAACAGGCACUCUUGUUUAUGAUGUUGGCCGCUGAUAGUGAGUUAUUUUUUUUGGCCUGAGAAAGCCUUUAAAGGCUAGAUAGGUAGCAGUUUUGAUAACUGCAUUGGUGCAUGGCUCGGAAGGUGCAUGGUCGAGUGGUUCUGACAUGGUUUGAACAUUGUAUGUAUGUAUGUAUGUAUGUAUAUAUAUUUUAAUACAAUGUUAAACAAAAAAUAUGCACACCAGUCAAGCCAUAAGACUUGAUUUUCCCACAGAAAUCACAAAUUUGCAGUGAUGUUACUACCGCAAAGGACUCUGGGUGGGCAUAUGCAAAUUAGUUUAACAAUAAAACAGUCGAUGAGUGGUUCACUGGCUUUGCAUCUUUUCUUAAAUUGUGUUUCAGAGCCGUUUGCAUGCAGCAAACACAGACUCAAAGGAAUCCUAGGUCCCCCCCCCCAUUAUUUAAAUUUAGGGCCCCCACCCACCGCUCAGGGGUGGGGGCCAGGGGGGAGGACGUUAGGUCCCCCCCUUAUUCCAAUUUAGGGCCCUCACCCGCCGCUCAGGGGUGGGGGCCAGUGGGGAGGACAUUAGGUUCCCCCCCAUUAUUUUACCGUUCGGGGGGGCAAUAGGUCCCCCUUCAGGUUAGAAGCCCCCACUCGCGCAGCACGAGUGGGGGCUCGGGAGGGGGGGGGACCAUAUGCUGCUCACUGUUUAAUAGACAUGUCCCUACUCGCAGUAUAGCGAGUAGGGGCAUAAUUUACUAAUACUAAGUAAUCUUUACUUAGUAUUAGUAAAUUUGUCUGAAAGACCAAUUUAGGUCUUUCAGCCUUUUGGUAGAUAGCUCCCUAAUACCAUGGGAAUUAGGGAGUUAUCUACUUAUUCAUUCCUGUCAUUACACUGACUGGCUAAGUAACUUACAAUUUAUAUGAAUGUAUGUUACUUGAUUGUUGUAAAUGCUUACAGCUGAAUCCUGGCUAUGUUUGUAUACUUUUUAUUUAAAAUUGUAUACAGUGUAACAUUCUUCAUUCUUCCACUGGGUAAGUAUAUUAGUUCUUAGGCAAUACUGUGCUUCGGCAAUUCGACACUUCGGAAAUUCGGUAAUUUCGGAUAUUCGGGACUUCAACCAUUCGGCAAUUCAUCUAUUUGGACACUUGAAAAUACCCAAAUUGCACAUGUCUAAUCACUGCAAAUGUGUGAUUUCUGUGGGAAAAACAAGUCUUAUGGCUUGCCUGGUGUGCAGAUUGUUUAACAUUGUAUUAACUAUUCACAGGCUUCAGGUGGAAGGGGUUUUCAAUAACAAUUUUUUUCCCCACCAUAACUUUUUCAGUUUUUGCUUUAUAUAUAUAUAUAUAUAUAUAUAUAUUUUAUCCAAAAUAGAGUGCACUCUGAGGACUUGCAAAAAUCUAUAUAUUUAUAUAUAGUAUGCAAAGUUAUCGAAGUGUAAUGAGUGAAUAAAUGUCGCUAAUUAAUUCUUAAAAAUGUAAUACUAAAUCUACAAAAAUAGCUGCAACCCAAUAAGUGCUUAGAUUUGAAAAUAAAAUGGACCAGACUCCCAUCAAUCUCAGCGUGAUCAUUUCUGUGGACCCCAGGGGAAACCACCCUCAUGUACCAAUACAUCAUGGAAGCAGUCAGGUGGCUAAAAACAUGUAACUUGUGGUGUGUGUGUGUGUGUGUGUGUGUGAUCUAUGUAUAUAUGACAUGGUAUCUGCUUGUGUGUGUGUGUGUGUGUGUGUGUGUGUGUGUAAUGUAUUUAUUAUAUGUGUUAGUUGUGUACGAGUCAGUGUGUAUCUGUGUGUUUCAGUGUAUGUGCACUCAGCAAUCAAAUGACAUCUGUACAUUCAAACACUAAACACAAGUACACCACUGCUUUCACAUAGCAACAGUACUUACAAACAUAAAACUGCAUUUAAAUGCUAACACUAUGUACAUACAUUCAAACACACAAAACAUGCUUACAUUUGUCACCGGUUAUUUUUUUUCCUAUUGCGCAGAAAUGUUUAUUCAUAAAAAUUUGAAUACUCUUUAUUGACCAAUACUAUAGUCUUAACUUGCAUUGAGCUGGACAUGGGGUGGGAAGGGGUCGCAAAACAUUUUUCUAAAUCACUUUACUGAAACUCUGGUUACGCCACUGAAUAUGAUGUUUUAAAACCACGUAUUGCAAUCUUAACAUUAAAUAUGUUGCCUUUUGGAAAGAUAUACUUUGGUGGUAGCCUCUUAUUUAUGUUGUUUUUUUUUUUCAGUUUAUGUCUUGUUACUCUGUCACUGCUCACCUUUUUAUUUCCUUCAACGUGUUCCUGUCAUCUUAUAAUUGCUGUAAAAAGCUUUUACCAAUACUCUUGACAGUUUACAAAGUUGAUUUGUAAUUGAGAUGCAUUGUAGUCAUUUUCAUUUGAAUAUCCAGAAGGUCAAAUAAAGUGGAUGAGCACUUGUUCCAGUCUUUGCACAAAUCCUCCCAUCCCAAUAUACUACAGAUGGCUACAUUUUAGUUUAUCUCCCCCUGAAGCAGUGACUCAUGCUGUUCACCCUCCAAUGUCUGGCCAUUUGCCUCCUACAACUCCCUUUUGUUUAAUGACUUUUAAACAACUGAAAAUCUGUUUGUGAUAUUUCUAUUAAAGUGGCUAGUAAGUUAAGUAGAAAUUCUCAUUAAAUUAUAGUCCGGUACGUGUUCUUUUCUGCAUAUUAACUUUUUUUUCUUUGUUUUGUAGGACGAUAAAAACAUUUUGUUAUUAAAUAUUGUUUGUUUUUAUUUAUUUUUAGUUUUUUUGUCCUCAAACCUUUUGAAUACACAUUUAGCUUCCCUUUCUCUAAGGUCACACAAUCUGAACUGCUGAAGGUUUAUACCCCUAGUCUAGAGAGGGGGAAAAAGUGUGUCAACCCAGUGUUCUGUAUUUGCAAAUGAAUAUUAUUGAAUUCAUUAAAAAAAUGCCCUUAAAUAAAUUACAUCUGUGAAUAAUGUCCUCAUCUGUUUUUUUUUGUUUUUUGUUUUUUAAAUUAUGGCAGCUACAGUUGUGUUGACCUUUAAAGUAUGUGCAAAGAUUCACCAGUGGGAAAUAUACACAAAUUUAUGCCAAACUCCAAAAGGUCUACAGUGUGUAUGAACGUGGCAAAUUGUAUCUGUAUUGUAAAACAAAUGCCGUUUCCUGGCCUUUUUUUAUCUCAUUGUAUUUAAAGGACACUACAGUCGCCACAACCACUACAGCUUAAUGUAGUGGUUCUGGUGUCUACAGAAUGCCCCUGCAGGCUUUCUAAUGUAAACAUUGCCUUUUCAGAGAGCAAUGGAAACACUCCUGUUUAAACUUACAAGUGUUUCAUUGUAUGCCCAACAUAUACAGUAAAGGGGGAAAAGAAAGUACACCCUCUUUGAAUGUGGUUUUACAUAUCAGGACAUAAUAAGUAAUCUGUUCCUUUUAGCAGGCCUUUAAAUUGGGUAAAUACACCUUAGAUGAGGAACAACACAUGUCAAAUUAAACAGUGUUAUGGUUUAUUUAUCAAAAAUAAAUCCAAAAUGGAGAAGCCAUGUGUAAAAAAAAAAAAAACAAACAAAAAAACGAAGUACACCAUAUGAUUCGGUAGCUUGUAGAUCCACCUUUAGCAGCAAUAUCUAUCAUUUUCCGGAUGACUUUAUCAAUCGAUCACAUUGUUGUGGAGGAAUUUUGCCCCACUUUUCUUUACAACUUUGUUUCAGUUCAUUGAGGUUUGCUGACUUUUGUUAAUGCACAGCUCUCUUAAAGUCCUGCCAGAGCAUUUCAAUUGGUUUGAGGUCUGGACUUUGACUGGGACAUUGCAACACCUUGAUUUUUUUUUAGCCAUUCUGUUGUAGAUUUGCUGGUGUGCUUGGGAUCAUUGUCUUGUUGCAAUUUCAUCCAAGCUUUAUGAUGGCCUCACAUUUGACUAUAGAAUACUUUGGUAGAUAGAGGAGUUCAUGGUCGGCUGAAUGACUGCAAGGUUCCCAGUCCCAGUGCGUGGCUGCAAACCAAGCCCAAAUCAUCACCCCUCCACCACUGUGUGUGACAGUUGGUAUGAGGUGUUUAUGCUGAGAUGCUGUGUUUGGUUUUUGCCACACGUUACACUGUGCAUUAUGGCCAAGCAUCUCCACUUUGGUCUCAUAUGUCCAAAGGACAUUGUUCCAGGCGUUUUGUGGUUUCUUCAGAUGCAGCUUUGCAAACCUAAGCCACACUGCCAUGUUAUUUUUAAAGAGAAGAGGCUCUCUCCUGUCAACACUAAUAAACAAACCAAACUCAUUCAGUCUUUUUCUAAUUCCACCCUCAUGAACUUUACUAGUUAGUAUGCUAACUGUGGCCUGUAGAUUCUGAGAUGUAACUCUUGGAUUUUUUUUGCAAUUUGUCUGAGCAUUGCACAGUCUGACUUUGGGGUGACGUCCACUCCUUCGAAGAUUGACAAGCGUCUUAAAUGUUUUCCACUUUUUGAAUAAUCUUUCUCACUGUAGAAUGAUGGACUUCAAAUUGUUUGAAAAAUCUCCAUCUAACCCUUCCCAGUUUGGUGGGCAGCUACAAUUGUUUCUCUAAAAUCAUUGCUGGUGUUUUUCCUCCUCAGCAUUGUGUUAGCACACACCUGAAUGCUCCAGAACAGCAAAAUGCUAAAACAUCAGCUUUUAUAGAGGUGGUCACACUUGCUGAUCAAUUAAUCAAGGGCAUUUGAUUAGUAGCACCUGUCUGCUACUUGGCUUUUUAAUUCCUAUGGAAGCCGUAAUGGUGUACUUAGUUUUUCACACAUGGCUUCUCCAUUUUGACUUUAUUUUUGUUAAAUCAUGACACAGUGUAAUAUGUCAUGUAUUGUUCAUCGGACAAAGAGGGUGUAGUUUCUUUUUCACGUGUGUGUGUGUGUGUGUGUGUGUGUGUAUAUAUAUAUAUAUAUAUAUAUAUAUAUAUAUAUAUAUAUAUAUAUAUAUAUAUAUAUAUAUAUAUCUAUGUGUAAAAAACAGAUAAAAUUCUUAUCUUGUAAUACCUUUUUAGUCCAAUAAAAAAGGUAUUACAAGAUAAGAAUUUUAUCUGUUUUUUACAUCUACAUCACUGGACUAAUACGGCUACAAUCUCUACUUGAACACUAUAUAUAUAUAUAUAUAUAUAUAUAUAUAUAUAUAUAUAUAUAUAUAUAUAUAUAUAUAUAUAUAUUAUAACCAAGAGGGCUGCACUCACCUGAACAUGCUUACAUUAUAGGGUGCUGCUGGGGCCAAAAUAUACAAAAUACAUAAUCCAACCACUGGCGUAUUCAGGGGGGGUGGGAACGGGGCAAUUCCCCCUCCCCCGGAGGCUCUCCCCUGCCGGCUAAUGCAGGGCUGGCAUUGUCCAAGUGCCAGCCCUGCAAUGUACCUGCGGACCGGGGAGGGAGAUCAGAAAUCUCCCUCCCCGGUCCGCAGGCACCGUGCUGACAGGGGAGGGAGUGAGAGAGGACCCGGGAGCUCUCUUACCUGCAGCUCCUCUGGGUCCUACUCUCGCGAGCAUGGAGCGUUGCCGCGGCAAUGCUCCAAAUCUCGCAAGAGUGACCUCUAGCCCUGGAGCAAAGGACUAGAGUUCACUUCACCACCACUGGGACCACUGGGGAAUCCCCACCCGCCCACCGGACCACCAGGGAUGGAGAAAUGUCCCCCUUCCUCCUCAAUAAAGGUAAGAAGGGGGGGGGCAUAAUUAUAUUAAUUUUAUUAAAUAAAAAUUUUAAAAAUAUAUAUUAAAAAGCCUCCCUACCCUCCUUCCCCCCCCAUACACACACUGCACACCCAUAGACACAUUGCCCCCCAUACACACACUCCCCCCCAUACACACAUUGCCCCUCAUACAUACAGUGCCCCCAUACACACACACACUGCCCCCCAUACACACACAAUGCCCCAUACAUACAGUGCCCCCCAUACACACACUGCCCCAAACACACAUAUACUGCAACUCUCACACACACUGCCCCCUCACAUACACACUGCACUGCUCACACACGUUGCCCCUAACACACACACUGCAACCCUGACAUACACUGCCGCCCUCACGCACACACUUCACUGCUCACACACACACUGCACCUUUAAUACACACUUCACCCCUAACACAUACCACUGCUCCUAUGCCCUAUAUCCCAGCAGACCCCAGGUAAGUUGUCAAACUGUUCUUAAACGGUUUGACUACUUACUCUGGGAUGGGAUCCUGGCACUACUGGCACCAUAACUACUACACUGAGCUGUAGUGGUUAUCGUGUCUGAAUUAUUUCUUUAAAUAAUCUACAAGUGCCCCUCCCGAGAUCAGGCUCUGGAUCCGCCACUGAAUCCAACGCACUCGCUUAUUCACUAAACAAUGUUUUCAAAUCUAAGAGAUUGUAAUAGUUUUAUUUAAAAACACCUCACCUAGGCAAAAAAUAAUGAGGGUUUGUUACAUUAUAUAAUCAUACAUUGCAUAAGCCUGCCACCUACGUCAAAGUACCCCAUAUUCGGCAGGUCCUAUCCUUCAUUAGCAGCCUAAUGCUUGCUCUUAUGAGAUUAAUCCACUUAUGGGAAAUGCUUCCUUUCUGGGACUCUCUGCAAGUCAAGGCUAAAUAGGGUCCUGGAAUGAGGCACCUGUGACAGGGAGGGGUGCAAAACCAAGGAGUUGGCCUGGACUCCCAAAUAUACAAACAAAACCAAGCGGGCUGCACCCACCUGGACAUGCAUACAUUAUAGGGUGCUGCUAAGUGGAUUAAUCUCAUAAGAGCAAGCAUUAGGCUGCUACAAUAGGACCUGCCAAGAAUGGGGUACAUUGAUGUUGUGGCAGGCUUAUGCAAUAUAUGAUCAUAUAAUGUAACUAAACCCCCAUUAUUUUUUGCCUAUGUGAUGUGUUUUUAAAUAAAACUAUUACAAUCUCUAAGAUUUGAAAACAUUGUUUAGUGAAUAAGCGAGUGCGCUGGAUUAUGCAUUUUGUGUGUGUAUAUAUAUAUUCAUAAUAAAUAGGCAUACAUGCAGUUUUUCAAUAGUAACAAAAUAUGCAAUAGUUUUUUUUCUGUAAAGUACCAUAAUACAAUACUACAUUUAUUUGGUAAUCCUAAUCCUACAGCAUACAUUUUUCAUAAGGCAAACAUCAGGUGGGGAAAAAAAAUUAACAUGUGAGAGAAAUAAUGAAUAAUAUAUAUUUCCACUGUGCCGUUGCUGAUACGCACAAUUCUGCAAGUGUUUUGGAAAUGAUGAAAAAUUAUUCCGUUCACCUGGUUACAAUUUUUCUGUUGCCAACAAACAAAAAUGUUACAGGGUUUAAAAUUUUGUUUAACCACUUCAUGAUACAUGACGUAUGAGCACAUCUUCCAAUUUUGGUGCCAGCAAAGGCUAGAUCCUUGCUGGCACUGGGUAUAAACGGGUAUCACUUGAUACCCAGGGCUCCCCUCUGUCAGCCGAGGUCAGAAAUUAGUAGCUUUAAACUGAUGAAUUAGAUAUGUGCAGCACUCAGAACCUCAAAUUCCAUGUUAAUUCAGCCAUUGACCAUAACCUCCCUGGAAUGGAAGGACACGCUCACACACUGAUAUAUCUUCCUGUAUCUAUUACAUCAUGUUUUUAUAUACAAGAAUCCCAAAAUAUAAACCAGUUGUUUACUGCUAUUAAACACUAUAUGGAACACUAUAUUGUUAGAAAUACAAAGCUGUAUACCUAACACUAUGGUUUCCCACUGCAACGCCCUCCCCUCCCGUUAAUAUGAUGGUUAAAAAUCCAUUAAAACACUCGCCUUAUUCCAGUACCGAAUUUCCUCAUUCGUCUUUGCCUCUUCAGAGAGUAGCGCACAGGAGAAACCUAAUGUGCAUGUGCGCGAAGCGCCCCACAAGCAUUAGCCUUUCCCCAUAGGAAAGUAUUGACCAUUCUCUUAAUUCUUUCCUAUGAGGGUUUAAGUCGCUGGACAGCCUCAUGCACAGCAUCAUGAACAGCAUGAGGACAUCCAGUGUCUUUUCACAGAGUUAAACUCUGUGACACUGCAGGAGGCGCCUUUAGUGACUGUCGACUGCCCGGAGGGUGUAACCAGGUUAAUAAACGGUUAUAAACGUGUAAAUUUCUAGUGAAAACUGCACUUUUUUUCAAAAUUAAUAGUACACAUUCUUUACACAUAAAGCUUAUUGGUAUGCUAAAGUGCUCUAGAGAUCUGGAGUGACCCUUUAAUUGCAAUUUUUACAUUGCUGUGUUUAGGAUACAGGGACAGUGCACCCAGACUACUUCAAUGAGAUGAAGUAAUCUGGGUGCCUAUAAUGUCCAUUUAACACCUUAAGGACGAAACUUCUGGGAAUAAAAGGGAAUCAUGUCAUGUGUCCUUAAGGGGUUAAACAUCUUCAUUAGACUGGUCCCACUGAGUAAAUUCUUCUGCAAUUUUACUGUGAACUAGCUUUUGUAGGCAGUUACAUAGCAUUUGAGUAAUACUCAAUAAAGUUCACAUUACCACAACUUCGUAUCCUUGUAAUGCAUUAACAUCAAUGGAUAAUCAGAAACGUCUACCUGCUUAUAUCAAUAAAAAUUUUAUAGAAAGCAAUAUCAGAGUGUGUUUGAUAAAAUACCAAUUACAAAUCCCUAACAGAUGCUAAAAUAGACAAAGAAAACACUGUUCCUAUACUGCCAGAAACUGGUAUUAAUGAAGACGUUACAUCCUUAGCAUCUAUUAGAAAUACAUCAAUGGGAUUUCUAAAAAUAAUUCUCUACUUGGUUCCAAGUGGAAUAAUGCAAAAGGAUAAGACUUGUAUCAUUAGCUUAGAUUAAAUCUAAUCCCAAUUUCAAGCAAUACUCAUUAUUUUCUGUGUAUUAGAUUAUCCGCUCCUAAAAUCAAUGAUCCAUACUUCUAAAGUUUAUUUACAAAAAGGACUCCAUCCUUUCAAUAAUGUAAUAUUCGGCUUCUCUGACAUUAAACUUUACAUCACCACAUUUCUUGUUAUCUCUCGUUAAUGUAAAACAAUAAUUGUUUCCCAUGAUGAUCAUAGCACACCUUCGGAUACCUCUACAAACAUAAUGUAUUAAUUCUAUUAUCCGUUAUUUUACUAUUACUUCUAAUGCUAUUGGGUUUUACUAACUAUAAACCUUUUUAUUCCUGGUCUACAUAUUACAGACUCCGAAAUAACAAAACCAUACAAGAAGUUACAUUGGGUAACAUCAUAUCCAGAAAUCUCUAAUCCUUAGUCUGUGCCAUUAGAGAAUCAGGGGUAACACAAAUGGUAUACUAUAUAAUACCCAAUCUCUUCUUCUUAGUUGUAUCAAUAUAUAAGCAAAGUGUUUCAGUGUAAAAUUAUCCUUUUUGUAUUCUCAUUUUGUCUUCUGACAUUCACAGUUAAAAUGCCAUGCAGAACUAAGAAAAUAACAACAUUUCUUAAUUUCUCAAUCUUUUUUUUUUUUAGAUAUUAUUCAUAUUAAAUUGCUUAAAGGACCACUCUAGGCACCCAGACCACUUCAGCUUAAUGAAGUGGUCUGGGUGCCAGGUCCAGCUAGGGUAGAGAAACUGUUAUGUUUAUGAAUGGGUUAAGCCUUCCCCCAAAUCCUCUUGCGGCUGUCUCAUUGACGGCCGCUAGAGGCGCUUGCGUGAUUCUCACUGUGAAAAUCACAGUGAGAACACGCAAGUGUCCAUAGGCAAACAUUGAUAAUGCUUUCCUAUGCGACCGGCCGAAUGCGCGCGCAGCUCUUGCCGCGUGUGCGCAUUCAGCCGACGGGGAGGAACGCAGGAGGAUCGGAGGCAGAGAGCUCCCCGCCCAGCGCUGGAAAAAGGUAAGUUUUUACCCCUUUCCCCCUUCCAGAGCCGGGCGGGAGGGGGACCCUGAGGGUGGUGGCACCCUCAGGGCACUAUAGUGCCAGGAAAACGAGUAUGUUUUCCUGGCACUAUAGAGAUCCCUUAAUAUUUAUGAAAUAUGAAAGAAGUAAAUUAAGGUUGAACAGACACAUAGCGCAAAUUCCAGGUUUUGUUUAGAAAUGUACAAUUGCCUCCAUUCUUAAGGGGUUAAAAACAAACAUAAUCACUAUAUGGUACUAUAAGCAGUAUCACUAUAAUUGCUUAAAACUCAGGAUUUGUCAUAUAUUGAUUUGUAAUACUCCUAAACUAAUUUUGUUCUUGGUACAUAAGUCAUUUAAUAAUCUUUUGCACUUGUACCUUGCAAUAUAGUAAAGCUUCAUAAUUUUGCUUUGCAAUAAUCAUUUCUAUGACAUUUUAUUUUAUUUUUUUUCAACUUCAUGUCACAUUUUUCAGUUUCAAAUGAACUAUGUAUAGCAAAUGUCUAUAUAAUUAUUAUUAUUAUUAUUGCCAUUUAUAUAACGCCAACAGAUUCUGUAGCGUUUUACAAUAUUAUAAGAGGGGGGAUUUAGGACAAUUACAAGAAAACUUACAGGAACGAUUGGCUGAAAUGUAUGUGUGUGUAUGUAUGUAUAUAUAAUAUAAUAAAAAAAAAAAAUAUAUAUAUAUAUAUAUAUAUAUAUUAUAUACAAUUCCAAAACAGAAAUGGCUGCUCUCCGGUCUUUAAAAAUAAGAAAUGUAUUGAAUAAAGUUUAAAAUAAUGACCAACGUUUCAGUCCCCGUUCGCGACUUUCUUCAGGGUCCAAAAAUAACCUGAUAUAAUAUACACACACACACAUGCAUACAUACACACUACAGCUCCUUGAUAAGCAUACAAUGCAACCACAAUACACAUACACUCUCAAUACAGCCCCUAAAUGUACACACACACACAUUACAGGCCAUUUCAGCACACACACAAUCUCAAAAGCUCCUAUACAUGAGCACGUGUUCACACUACAGCCCCUUGUUACACAUAGUACACCAUAAACAGACUCCUCUAUACACACACUUCACAACAGUCCCUUCUAAACACCAUGAAAAAUUAUAUUGCAUCUCCUGAAAAGGUUUUCUAGUUUCCGUAAAAAAGGUGUCUUGCCUGUAAUAAGGAAGGCGUAGCGGUGGAACUACAGGGAGUGCUGGUGCUGCAGUUACACCGGGGCCCAUUGAGUAGCCUUAAGGGGCCCAAAACCAUUUUUGCACCAGGAUCCACUCUACAUUAGUUCUGCCACGUUGCAGCAGAUUCCCCGUACACAAGUUCUGCCCCCAAUCUCUGACUGAGACACACACUGACACACACGUUCUGACAGACAUACAGUAACAGACACACACUCUCUGACUGAGACACACACUAACUGAGACACACACACAUACAGACAAAUUUUUCUGCACACACUCACAAAUUGCUAUUUUUAUUUUAAUUUAAAUCCAUCCAGUCUCGCUACCUUUUGGGAGUGCUGAGUGGAACUUUCCCUUGCGUCCAGUGUCUCCUCUCAAUUUUCCUGCAGUUUCUCUCUGCUCCCCUGCUCACUCUCUGUAUUGAUCACUAAACAGCGCGCAAGGGAACAGAGAGGUACUGCAGGAUGGUUACUGCUCCCUCGCGUGCUGCCUUCAUGCUCCCCGCGGUGGCCGGCUUUAAUAUUUACUGCUUAGCAAAGGGCUGACAAAUGCCAUGGCGACCUGGUGACUGGAAUUUGUCGAGCUUUGUGUGUGUGUGUGUGUGUGUGUGUGUAUAUAGCUUUGUGUAUAUGUGACACUUUUUUGUUAGUGGGACCUCAUGUUUGAGUUUCGCCUAAAGCCCCAUAAAGUCUAGAGCCACCUCUCAUAUUUGUAGUAUAAGUGCCACAGUGCUCUUUCAGCUAAAUCAACAUAAAUCUCCACGAAGAAAAGCCCACGCUGGGCUUUUUGAAGAAAAUUAUUUGUCUUUAUUCAAAACUCACGGGUUACAGCAAAUUAACAUUUUAGUCCAUCAUAGGACUUUCAUCAGGAUCCUAUGAUGGACUGAAACGUCGAUUUGCUGUAACCCAUGAGUUUUGAAUAAAGACAAAUCAUUUUCUUCGUGGAGAUUUAUGUUGAUUUAGCUGAAAGAGCACUGUGGCACUUAUACUACAAAUAUGAGAGGCGGCUCUAGACUUUAUGGGGCUUUAGGCGAAACUCAAACAUGAGGUCCCACCAACAAAAAAGUGUCACAUAUACACAUUGAUGCACAGUUUACCCUUGUAUGUGCCUGAGAGUGUGUCUGACAGAGAGUAACCUUUUGUGUGUGUGAGUGUAUGUCUCUGUGAGCAUGUUUGCGUUUUUGUCUGAGACCCUAUGUGUAUGGGGUAGCUGCUUGAAGUGUGUUGUGUGUAUGGGGGGGUGAUGGUUUGAGGCGGGUGAUGGCGAGGGGAGGGGGGUUGAUGGCGAGGGGGUUGAUGGCUGAGGGGGUUGAUGGCGAGGGAGGGGCUGAUGGCGAGGGUGAUGGAAAGGGAGGGAGGUUGGUGAAGGGGUGAUGCUGGGGGGGUGAGGGUAGUGAUGCUGAGGGGGGUAAGGGGAUGAUGGUGGUAGGGGUGGUGCUGAGGGGGUGGGGGCUGUGGGGGUUGGGGGUGGGGGGUUGAGGUUGAGGGGUGUGGGGGUUGAGGUUGAGGGGGGGGGUUGAGAGGGUGUGGGGGUUGAGGUUGAGGGUGUGGGGGCUGAGGUUGAGGGUGUGGGGGCUGAGGCUGAGGGUGGUGUGGGGGAUGAUGCUGAGGGUGGGUGAGGAUGGUGGGGGUGGGUGGGUGAUGCUGAGGGGGGAGAUGGGAGAGAGAGGGAGGUCUGAUGGCCUACCUUGAUUUAUUCCCUGGUGGUCCAGUGUGGGCUCCCUGGUGGUCCAGUGUGGGCUCCCUGGUAGUCCGUUGGCCAUCAUUUUCGUUGAGCUGCAGACAUUGUAAUCUCACGAGACCAUCAGAGCGUUGACGUGGUAACCCGCGGCAACGCUCUGAUUGGUUAGUUUUCUGAGACACAUGGUCUGCACCUCUGCUCACUCUGGAGCUGCAGACCAGUGUUUGCAGUGGCUGGCCGGGCAGCCAGGAGGGGCCUCGCACCUGGUGGCAUACUGGGGAAGCCGCUGGGCCCCCUUCUGGUGUCGGGUCCCAGUCUGCCCACAGGCGGCUUAGGCGGCCGCGAGGACCCAGCCAGCGCGAGGCCUUAGGCGGCCGCCUAAUUAGAGAGCCGCCUCUGUGUGUGUGUGUGUGUGUAUAUGUAUGUAUGUAUGUAUGUAUAUGUGUGUGUAUAUAUAUAUAUAUAUAUAUAUAUAUAUAUAUAUAUAUAUAUACACACACAUAUACAUACAAUCUCAAGUAGAAAGGGAGGUUCUCAUGAAAGCUUGUCAUUAACAAAUUCUGUUAUUCCAAUAAAAAAAGGUAUUACAAGAUACAAAUUGUAUCUGUUUUUAUUUAUACACACACACAUAUUUAAUAAACCCCCCCCCCCAUACUUAUGUGCCCCCCUAAGUAUGAAUCCUGGAGACGCCACUGCCUACACUAACAAUUCACCUUGCUGUUUUCAGCUAUUGGGUAAAAUAUCAAAUGGCCAUUGGAGUGAUACUAAAAAAGGUAUUUUGGAUAGUGUGCAAGUAAAAGUUUCUUUGGUUUUUACUGUAUGUAUUAGGGCUAAUGUGUACUUUAGUCCUUGUUUCUGUCCAGGAGUAGUGGGAGUGGGACUAGUGAGAGUUUGAGCACAGGGCUUAAUUUUGUAUUUCUGACCUUGUUUUUCCUUAGUAGCACAUAUUCAUUUUUUUGCCAGUUCACCUGUUUGCUAAUUGAUCCCACAGACAAUUUACUGUCAUCUGCAAAAUAUUUUACAGUUUUCAUUUUACACUCACCCGAUCAGAAGUUAUUUCUGUCUAUCUCAUUGCUUCACCCACACACCUGCGCAUUUCUGGAUUUGGAUCUGGAAACUUGCCAUUCCUUCCGCGUGCUGGCUUGAAGAACUCGCGUUGCUUUAGAUCUUUAUCUUCUCUUGAGAACAGAAGACCGUUCUUUGUUCUGUGCAAGAAUUCCGACAAUUUCUGUUGACACUUUUUUUUUUUCAAUUUUCAAUUCACACUUCAAUUCAGUUCAGACCACUGAAUCUCACUCUUCAUGCCCCCCUUGUGAAUAUAAUAGCAUGACAUGUAUUCUAUCCAAACUGUACAAAAAUUGUGUUUACUUCAUGUUUUCAUAUCUUGAUAAAUUGGAUCACAAUAAAUUGUGGCAGGUGCACAUAAAAAUGAUGUAAGUUUACUACGAUUUUAAAACACAUGAUAAAUUGGCAUUUCCUUUACAACAACGCCGGGUAAACACAGGAUGCUUAUUGGUCAGGGUAACUGGCUAAAAUAAGGGAGAGCAUAAAAACAGGGUUCAAAAGAGUACUGAGAAUGGGCGACCGCUCGAAUAGCCUGCCCUUCGGUGGGUCCCUGCUCAGAUCUCAAGCUUGUUUUAGCUCAUCUUGUGCCAUUACAAAAAGAACCCGGGCCAUUUGCAAAUGAGACUGAAUCCACCCAAAAGGGAGGUCCAGAACCAAAAUGCAGGCCGUCUCUCUCUACACAAGAGAUACAGCAACCACAGAUGAUCGUUUCAGCCUUGUUAGGCAUCGUCAGUGAGUUAAUUGGCUAAAAUAGGUGUUCGAGUUGGUCAACUUUGUCACUUUAACUGUAGAUAAGAUUUGAUGGAGCAUAGGAUGCAUACACACAAUGCACAUUUGCGGUUUUGUUCCUUAUACUAAGGGACAGUAGAAAGGAAGAGGAUAUCUUUAUAUAUGCUAUCUUUAUAAAACGGUUUUGUGGACAUGCUACCCUAAUGUUACUGAAUAAAAUUGAAUUUUGCAAAGUUGUCAUUAAUCAAUGUACUUCUUUUCUUUCUUUCCUUCUUUCCAGUGGGAAAAAAAAAUCGAUUUUUUUUUUUUUUUGCCUUGUUGCGGGAUCGUAAAGCACAGAGGGUUAUACACCACCUAACCAUGGCUGCCUUUGGAGAGAUGUACAGACUAUUAGCAGUGUUUGUUGUCCUGUGUUUUACCUUGCCAGGAGUUGAUGCUUUGGACGAAGGAGACGUGAUUGCUGUUCUACUUGGAGUGGUCAUAACUGUACUUGGCUUUUGUGCAUGUUUGGGGUACUAUGCAAGAAAACGAGAAGGGCAACUAUAAUCAUUUUUUGCUAGAUUUUGUUUCGUUUUUGUUACUGAUGCUUGCAAUCCAAUGUUCUAAUUUUUUGUUAUUUUAUUUUAUUUUUUCACAAUGUUUUUGCAUUGACAGUGACUGCAAAUGGAAUGGCAUCGCAUAUUAUGUUUCCAACUUUAUAUUAAAAUUUCUGUGAGCAGCAAUCCAGUUUAAGAAUGUUUUUGUUUUCCCAUUACGGUAACACUGCCACUAAAUCUCCUUUUUAAUAAAUUGCAAUGCGCUGGACUAAACCCACGCAAGAAAAACAGGAUAAGGAAUUUAAAGAAGGUUUAAAUUCAAAGCUAGUUUUGAUGGGAUCAAAGGCUCUCGGCAGUGAUAAUGCUUUUAACAAUUGACUAUUCACUAUACUGUUUGGUGAGAUGUUACUUGUUUUAUAAGGCCAUCUGUUUUACUAUAAUUUCAGCAUUUACCUUUUGUUUAGAGUAUGUUUUGUUUCCUUGCUCUUUGUGAUGGGUAUUUAAAAUAAAAUAUGGUUUUGAGCUGCUCCCAAUGAACUGUUCUGUUAUUUCAACACUUUUUUUUUAUAAAAACAUAAGAUAAUGUGUUAUGUACUGAUUGUUGGCACUCUUCAAUUCAGUUGUGAGUCAUUUCAAAUUAUAGCAGUAACUUCAAAUUGUUACUGGGUUCGACUCCAUCAGAUUACCC
rnacentral:lncRNA from 1 species